GUCCGUGUUCGAAAGGGAAACAGCCCAGACCACCAGCUAAGGUCCCAAAAUAUAUGUUAAGUGGAAAAGGAUGUGGCGUUGCCCAGACAACUAGGAUGUUGGCUUAGAAGCAGCCAUCAUUUAAAGAGUGCGUAAUAGCUCACUAGUCGAGUGACACUGCGCCGAAAAUGUACCGGGGCUAAACAUAUUACCGAAGCUGUGGAUUGUCCUUUGGACAAUGGUAGGAGAGCGUUCUAAGGGCGUUGAAGCAUGAUCGUAAGGACAUGUGGAGCGCUU
rnacentral:rRNA from 1 species